rnacentral:rRNA from 1 species
AAUGUCUGGGAAACUGCCUGAUGGAGGGGGAUAACUACUGGAAACGGUAGCUAAUACCGCAUAACGUCGCAAGACCAAAGAGGGGGACCUUCGGGCCUCUUGCCAUCAGAUGUGCCCAGAUGGGAUUAGCUAGUAGGUGGGGUAACGGCUCACCUAGGCGACGAUCCCUAGCUGGUCUGAGAGGAUGACCAGCCACACUGGAACUGAGACACGGUCCAGACUCCUACGGGAGGCAGCAGUGGGGAAUAUUGCACAAUGGGCGCAAGCCUGAUGCAGCCAUGCCGCGUGUAUGAAGAAGGCCUUCGGGUUGUAAAGUACUUUCAGCGGGGAGGAAGGCGAUAAGGUUAAUAACCUUGUCGAUUGACGUUACCCGCAGAAGAAGCACCGGCUAACUCCGUGCCAGCAGCCGCGGUAAUACGGAGGGUGCAAGCGUUAAUCGGAAUUACUGGGCGUAAAGCGCACGCAGGCGGUCUGUCAAGUCGGAUGUGAAAUCCCCGGGCUCAACCUGGGAACUGCAUUCGAAACUGGCAGGCUGGAGUCUUGUAGAGGG